rnacentral:rRNA from 1 species
ACGCUGGCGGCGUGCUUAACACAUGCAAGUCGAACGAUGAAGCCUAGCUUGCUAGGUGGAUUAGUGGCGGACGGGUGAGUAAUACGUGAGUAACCUACCUUUAACUCUGGGAUAAGCCUGGGAAACUGGGUCUAAUACCGGAUACGACCAAUCUCCGCAUGGGGUGUUGGUGGAAAGCGUUAUGUAGUGGUUAUAGAUGGGCUCACGGCCUAUCAGCUUGUUGGUGAGGUAACGGCUCACCAAGGCGACGACGGGUAGCCGGCCUGAGAGGGUGACCGGCCACACUGGGACUGAGACACGGCCCAGACUCCUACGGGAGGCAGCAGUGGGGAAUAUUGCACAAUGGGCGCAAGCCUGAUGCAGCGACGCCGCGUGAGGGAUGACGGCCUUCGGGUUGUAAACCUCUGUUAGCAGGGAAGAAGAGAGAUUGACGGUACCUGCAGAGAAAGCGCCGGCUAACUACGUGCCAGCAGCCGCGGUAAUACGUAGGGCGCGAGCGUUGUCCGGAAUUAUUGGGCGUAAAGAGCUUGUAGGCGGUUUGUCGCGUCUGCUGUGAAAGGCCGGGGCUUAACUCCGUGUAUUGCAGUGGGUACGGGCAGACUAGAGUGCAGUAGGGGAGACUGGAAUUCCUGGUGUAGCGGUGGAAUGCGCAGAUAUCAGGAGGAACACCGAUGGCGAAGGCAGGUCUCUGGGCUGUAACUGACGCUGAGAAGCGAAAGCAUGGGGAGCGAACAGGAUUAGAUACCCUGGUAGUCCAUGCCGUAAACGUUGGGCACUAGGUGUGGGGAACAUUCCACGUUUUCCGCGCCGUAGCUAACGCAUUAAGUGCCCCGCCUGGGGAGUACGGCCGCAAGGCUAAAACUCAAAGAAAUUGACGGGGGCCCGCACAAGCGGCGGAGCAUGCGGAUUAAUUCGAUGCAACGC